rnacentral:misc_RNA from 1 species
AACUUUCGGCAACGGCUCACUUGGCUCUCGCAUCGAUGAAGAACGCAGCGAAAUGCGAUAAGUAAUGUGAAUUGCAGAAUUCAGUGAAUCAUCGAAUCUUUGAACGCACCUUGCGCCCUUAGGUAUUCCGAGGCGCACACCCGUUUGAGAGUCAUGACAUGCUCAAACCCUUGUCGGUUUCUCGACCGGGAAGGCUUUGGACUUUGGAGGCUUUUGCUGGCAUUCCUUUGUUGGAGCCAGCUCCUCUGAAAUGAAUUAGUGGGGUCUGCUUUGCCGAUCCUUGACGUGAUAAGAUGUUUUCUACGUCUUGGGUUUUAGCCCUCCUGCUUCUAACCGUCUCACAGUAGACAAAUGGUCCACUCGACCCACAAACCUUGACCUCAAAUCGGGUGAGACUACCCGCUGAACUUAAGCAUAUCAAUAAGCGGAGGCU